GCCGACGUGGCUCAGUGGUAGAGCGAGUACUUGGUAAGUACUAGGUCAUGGGUUCAAUUCCCAUCGUCGGCUCAA
rnacentral:tRNA from 1 species